GACGGACGCUGGCGGCGUGCCUAACACAUGCAAGUCGAGCGAAUGAAGUUCCUUCGGGAAUGGAUUUAGCGGCGGACGGGUGAGUAACACGUGGGCAACCUGCCUCCUAGAGGGGAAUAGCCUUCCGAAAGGGAGAUUAAUACCGCAUAAGAUUGUAGUACCGCAUGGUACAGCAAUUAAAGGAGCAAUCCGCUAUGAGAUGGGCCCGCGGCGCAUUAGCUAGUUGGUGAGGUAACGGCUCACCAAGGCGACGAUGCGUAGCCGACCUGAGAGGGUGAUCGGCCACAGUGGGACUGAGACACGGCCCAGACUCCUACGGGAGGCAGCAGUGGGGAAUAUUGCACAAUGGGGGAAACCCUGAUGCAGCAACGCCGCGUGAGUGAUGACGGCCUUCGGGUUGUAAAGCUCUGUCUUCAGGGACGAUAAUGACGGUACCUGAGGAGGAAGCCACGGCUAACUACGUGCCAGCCGCCGCAGUAAAAC
rnacentral:rRNA from 1 species